UCUAGAAUGAAUCGUCCCCCCUGACCUUCUGGAGUGAAUCGUCCCCCCGACCUUUUGUGGUGCUAACCGUUAGCCUCAUACAGUCUCUUCUCAUUGCCUUCCACACUCUCAUCAGCCUCGGGGAUCAGGUCUCCGUUCAUAAACCAUAUCAGUGAGGCCUUUGCACUGUCGACAGCUGGAGGUGGCAUACAGUUCCUACAUCAUGGGAACACAAAACAGGAAAAAUGAUAUAGAUAUAUAUAGCUAAGAAUAAAUAUGAAUAUAUGUAAAGAGAUAGAAUCCCAAUGAGCACAAUAUUAAUGUAAGAGUUAUUAUUGGAGUAUUGAGAUGUUACUUUUUUUAUUGCUUAUAUAUAAAAGUAUACUUAAAAUCCUUUAUUUUGAUCAAAAAAUGACCAAACUACUGUUCUAUGGUUGUACCCCUCUUGUGUUUGAGCUCGCUGUAGAUUUUGAGCCGGCGUUUGCUUAUCUGUGGAGACGUUGCUUAGCAUAGCUGCUCGCUCAUGUGUUCAUGUAUCGGUGGCAAUGAAAAAGAAAUUAACGCUAACACAUCGCUUUAAUAUCGAGUUAUUUGCUCCGUGGAGCAGGUUCAUCGCUGCUUUGUUGCAUCCAUCAGUUUGUGGGGAGAAUGCUAAAGGUGAGUCUAUCAGGUGACGGGUGGGUACAGUGUUUAUUUGUGAGGGAGGGAGAGUCGGGGCACCAGUCAUUAAUCACAACCUGAACAGAUACCAUGAGCUGAACAUCAUCAGCGUACUAGUGACAGGGUACCUUUAAAACUACUGUGUAUGUGUCCAAGGGGCAAACAAAAUAGGACCCAGGACAGAACCUUGGGGCUCACCAGGAGAAUCAGACAGCCACAAGCCUGCUUCUCUAACCUUUACAACCACUGUCCGAGUGAUGAAUGUUGAAUGUUUGCCUUAAAAAAAGAAAUCCAGUUUAGGAAGAUGCGGGAUGUUUCCCAGUCAAAUGUACAAAGCUCUGGUCAAGUCUGUGAAGGGACUUAAGAUAUCAACCUUUCCCAUGGAGCUGAACUCAAGUUCCUCACCCUGUAAUUACCCUGUAAGGCCAGGGUUGUUUGUUAAUGGUUGUUAUGGUUUUGACAUUGGAAAUUUGAAUGGAUAAGUUUGUCUUAGUUUGAUGAAAACAAACUUUUACCUGUCUAGUUCUGCAGAUGAAAACAAACUAAUCAAAAUUUUUAGGCCUAUGUAUAAUUUGUAUGUGUGCAACAUCAGAGCUCACUACAUCAAUAAUUAUGAUUAUUAUGAUUACUAUUACAGCAGUAGUAGUGUUCUGUUCUUUUAUUAUACUGUGAACUAAGUGGAAGCCCCUCGUACAUUUGAUAAAUUGUAGAAUGGUUGUAUAGAUGGUGACUGGUUCCCCUCUCUGCUGGUCGGCUCUUUUCUCUGUAGUGUUGUGAUGAACUUGUAAAACCUGGUUCGGUGGAUGUAUGAGAGGGUUUGUUCGUUUCUGCUCUCUGCUCUUCUUCAGCAUGUUUGACUAAGUUUGAGGCUUUAGCUACUCGUGAUGUUCCAGUUAAUGUUUAGCAUGCUGCUAAAAGAUGUUAAAAACAAAAAUUAAAAAAGUGAAGAGUUGUUCCCACAUCAAAUUAAGAGUGAGCAAAGAGUGAUUAAUGUCACAGUGCCAUAAAACCAUUGUUCAUCCAAACACAGUAGAAAAAAAAUACUUCAUAUAAAACAUGUUUUCUUUGUUUUUCUUUUCCAAAAAAUAUUUUUGGAUCUAAAUGAAGAUGGUUACAGUAAACAAUGUAUAAAUGAAAGUGGAUAUGGUGUUGAAUAGAAAACAUAAUAUAGAAAAUAUUUUAUCUGUGAUUGCUCUGCUGAACGGACUCAAAGAUCUGCCCGGCAACAGUGCCAACACAUCCUUCGUGGACCAGAAACCAAAUGCAGAACUCUUCACCGGCUGGAGACUUUCUGAUUGGACCUAGCACCUGUCAGUCAAGCCAUAGGACUUGGCAACGCCUACAGGAUCACAUGGUGCUAAUUCAACGCCUGAAGGGGUGUCGUAAAACUUCAGAUCACACACAAGAAAAGAAAACCCUGCAGCUGUCGUGAUCAAAGAGAGAAGUUUGUCUUCUCACAUCAAACUCUGGAUUUAAGCUGCUGCUCUGCAGGUUUCACAAACUUCUCCUGAAUGUUUCCUUCAAUGUUUUCUAGAGUUUGAGUUCUGUGUUUUCUAGAUCUGUGAUCCUCAGUGAGAAUCCAGCAGACGACCAGUCGCACUAUGGAUGCUUUAUUCAUGACAGACUGGAAGCACCGUCAGACCCAAACCCACUAACAUGUUCAGAGCCCUGAAGUGAGACAUUAACUUGUGUGCACAAGUUAUGAAUCUGAUUAACUUGUGCAAACAACAUACUAACUUCCGUGCACAUUAUACUAACUCAGAAACAAAAUAUACUAAAUAUUAACAUUUACCAACAACAUCAUGAAUUGUGGGUACAAGAUACUAAACAAAAUAUUAACAUUUGCAACAAGACAAUAACUUGUAAUAACAUUUUGCUGUGUAUUGAUAACUGUGUGAACAAGAUAACUUUCGAAAACAAGAUAUUGAUCUGAGCACACAAUUAUUGAUGAUGAAUUUGUUCAAACAAGACACAAGAUAAUAACUUGUGCACACAAGUUAUUAUCUUUGCUCGUAAGAUAAAAACCAUCUUUCAGGGUUUCUGUGAACAUGUGAUCUCGAUCAGCUGACUAGUGUUUGGUAUUUAACUGCCAUCUUAUCUGGACGACUUCAAACUGCUCAAACGUUAAUCAGAAUGUUUUCAGAUCUUUACUGACCAGAUCAUUGCAGUCAGUACUUUGUCAUGAAUGAACUUCCAUACAGCUGCAUAUCUGAGUCCAACUACAUUCCUGUUGUUUCCAUCUCGACUCUUCUCCGACACGCAGCUUCACUGAGUUCAGACCGGACCAGGUGUGAUCCAGGUGUGAUCCAGGUGUGAUCCAGGUGUGAUCCAGGUGUGAUCCAGGUGUGAUCCAGGUAACUCAGUGGAGCUGCUUCAGGAAACAGAGCCUGAAGGAAAAGUUAGUUUAACGUUAAAUCAGUGCACCUGGGAUCACUGCCAGCGGGUUUACCUGUUCAACAGCAGCCGCCCAGGUGAGCUGUCAGCUGAUUUGACAGCGUCACAUGACAGGACCUGUUCUACCCAAACUCUGUGUGAGCUGCAUCCUGUGGUGUUUCAAGUCUUAAAGAUUGUGUUAACAAACAUUAAAGUGUUCAGAUUCAGA